GACAGAGGUGGCAAGCGUUGUUCGGAUUUACUGGGCGUAAAGAGUGCGUAGGUGGUGAGGUAAGACCUGUGGGAAAGACCUGGGCUUAACCCAGGAAGGUCGCAGGUGACUGCCUCGCUUGAGGACGGGAGAGGAGAGCGGAAUUCCCGGUGUAGCGGUGAAAUGCGUAGAGAUCGGGAAGAAGGCCGGUGGCGAAGGCGGCUCUCUGGAACGUUCCUGACACUGAGGCACGAAAGCGUGGGGAGCAAACAGGAUUAGAUACCCUGGUAGUCCACGCCCUAAACGAUGGGAACUAAGUGUCGGCAGGUUACUGCCGGUGCCGCACCUAACGGAGUAAGUUCCCCGCCUGGGGAGUACGGCCGCAAGGUUGAA
rnacentral:rRNA from 1 species